UAGAUUGAAGCCAGUUGACUAGGGUAUUUAGCUGUUAACUAAAUUUUCGUGGGUUGAAAGCCCAUCAAUCUAGA
rnacentral:tRNA from 1 species